GCCCAUGUAUAGUUCUCCCCUACCUCCUCGGCCUGUACCUACAUCUCUUCCGCCGGUCUGGGCUCAAGCAGGUGGGGACGAUACGAUUUUAUUAUGCCUACCUGCUCCAGUGUGUUCGGCAACUUUUGAACUUUUUCCUUACCUCGGUUCGUCAACGUGUCGAACUCCUACCUGACGUCACGUCUGAACUAGAAGACCGUCUCGUCGAUGGGUGAAAACUUCUUCAAGUCAGACCUGUCCGUUGGGAUCCGAGUACCUUCCUGGUUAUAGUCUCCGACGCACACUCGGACUCCUUACGAUUGAAUGUUCGUUUUCGCUUGUAACCUUUCCGACGAGUUCUUCUCUCCCUCGAAGAAGACCCUCCACCUCUUCUCAGGUGAUAGGCCUCCGACCUAGUCCACUAACGUUCGUUAGACGUCACGAAUUUCAAGUCCUACUGGUAAACCCCACAUGGUCCCACCGGCCGGCUACGUACCUACACAGCGGUCACGGGUCAACGGCGGUGUGCAUGUACGUUCGUUUCAUCGGGUGAAAUAGGAUAUGUCGCACACACCAGCGAGUUGCACGGUCCGCUCGUGGGAUCGGAACUUCAGAGUGUCGGAUCCGUGACAUCGGAGAACGCGUCCUCACCGGUUCUCACCUGCGAACGAAACGAAAGAGAAGGCAAGGGCCGACCGGUAUAACUAAACGAAACGUUGUUACCGGUCACAUGACACACCGGAGUCCCUCUUUUUGUGCUGGCCGGCGGCCGGUCACAUGAAAAAAGGUUUUGUUUCCGGAAUUCGAUGACAAAAAGAGUAAGGAAGACAGUCAUAGAGAUGUACCAUAUAAACCUACCUACCGGACUAUACUCUAAAAACACAAUAUCGAUACUUAUAAACGUUUGUUUAGUCCAAUCUUGUAGUGAAUUAUAUUAACAACGUUGACCGGAGGUACACUCUCAACUACACCUCCAUACU
rnacentral:rRNA from 1 species